GAAGGGUCCUUCCCUUGACAAUAGUCUCCAGUGCAGAUUGACUGUCCUUUCAGAGAGACCCAUCCCUUGGCUUCUACCCCUUGGCAGAGGCUUUGCUCAUUGCCAUGAAAGGGUGGCUGGCUUCUAAUCCCCAUCACCUCUCUAAGCAAUCAUAUAUUUCAUAUAAAAACUACCCCAUCUGGAAAUGCAACCUUGACCAGUUGUCAACCUUUCUGACUAGAGCAUCCUUUGCAGGUCAGAAAUUUUAUACCCUACACUUUCACUCUCCAAAUGUCAGCCUAACCUUCACCUGCUUCUACACCUCGAGACCUCACUAAGAAAGUCUUCAAGUCUAAUCCCUCGAACUUGGUGUCUAAAGCUAGUUUCUGCCAGCAAACCUUGAUUUUGGUCUUCAGAUGCUGCUGUAGUAAUAAAUGACCUCACCUAGCCAAUUUAAGGAAUACUAAGAUUAAAUACCCCUCACCAGAAGUGGGAAUUUCAUCUCUGACAGGGAUCACAGUCUUCCUUGAGCCCCUGAUGCUCAGUCACUGGCCUUGGAAUCCUGGGUCAGAAGAGGCUCAAAGAGAAGCUGCAAUAGGUGUCAUUUUUUCUAUCGGGGGCUCUCUGUUUUAAGUCAAGCAAAGUCUAUUGUGGAAGAGCAUAAUCUAUUCCUAAAUACGGAGUCUAUCUUCUCCAUCUGAAUGAGGCAUGUUUCAGAAAGACGCUCCUCCAACCCUGUAGCCCAAGAAAAGUACCUGAGGAAGAACAAUUGGGCCCCUAUUUCUUUCCAGCUCCUCUUCUAAUUCUUUAUCAAGUUCUUACCCUCUUCAACCCCUUUGCAAUGAAUACAUCCUACUUGAAUUGCUUAUGUAAAGGCAGUUGCCCUUGAGUUUGCAAACAGUGUCAGGGUUGAGUGGCUGGAGUGGGGUACAUCUGGGGAAGGGGAGGAGGGUUCUAAGGAGAUCCUGCGCAUGUGUAAGGUAUUGCAAGUCACCUUCCAGAUCCAGAAAGAAUCUAAAAAGAAAAAGCAAGGCAUUGUGGGAGUUCUUUGGUGGCUUAAAAUAUGGCACCAAUUGUUCUGGGAUUCUAGAGAUGGAGUUUUGCCUUUUCUUUGUUCGGUCAACAUGCAGAGCAAACAAGGAGCACUGUCCUUUUGGAGUGCUGAGUUUAAAUCCCUGGAGCCUCAGAAAAACCUCGAAGUUUUUAAGCACAGUAGAGGCAGACUUUAUUGGGACCGCCCUUCUAGGAAGAACUUGCAUAUCCUGGUUCAGUAAUUGUAACUCGAAUCCUGGCUCUCACCUCUGUUUUAGGGGCCGCUACAGGAGAGUAACUGGGGCGCGGUGGAAGUUAUGGCUCAGGGGAUCUGACAGACCAGGGGUUGUGAAAAAGAAAAGCUAUACCUGCCUAUUCGGGGACUUGAAGUAAGAUCUCUCCUUCUGUGAGAGUUCAUGCUUGCUUAAUUCUAAUGUGGCCCUGAUUCCAAGUCUGAGUCACAAACAUCCAGGCUUCCAAGUGUCCUCUGACUUCCGGGGAAGGGGAAAGCAGUGAUUGCCUAAUAAGGAUGGGGGUUAAGGACUUUUGCUUUGUAAAAAUAGGUGUGUGUGUUGGGGGAAGGGGCAACACUGCGAGGUCACCUGAAUUGCACCCAGCUGGAACACGGAACGCUCGGAGAAGGUCGGCGCUGGGGCCCCUGACCCUGGCCGGCUGUACAGCCCUAACGCGCUGGUAGCUCUGUUGGGACAGUGGGUAUUUCCCAGUUCUCUCUGCUUGCCUAGCGGGUGAGCGCACUCCCCCAACUUUGGCCCCCUCGGGCGCCCUAGGCAGCCGGGCGACACGCGAGCUGCACGCGUAGGCAACAAAAGCCGCUUUUCAUGACUCAGUGCCCUCCAGCAAUGCCCUAAAUCUGCCACCCCGCCGGGCCCUAGUCUCCAGCGAGGCACUGGACCUGCGUCGGGGCCGUUACAGCCGCAGCCCGGGAGCCCGGAAGCCAGGGAAGCAGAGGCCUUGGGAGGGAUGGGGGAGGAGAGAGGACAGAGGAGUGUGGCCUGGCCAUGGGGCAGGGGCGCAUUCACAGAGCUAAGAUAAAGAGCUGGGUCGUGGCCUGCAGCGUCCCGGGUGGUGACCUGUUUUUCUCAGAAACAGAUGCUUACUUUCCAUGAAAGGACCCAGUGUGUCCGUGGCUGCCCACCGACUCGGAUGUCUCCCAAGUCUCUUCCUACAGAGCCUAGAGUCGACCUGGGCAUGUUCAACCCCCAGGAGCCUAUUGGUACCCAGCAUAGCCAGUACUUGGAGACCUUGGGGUGCGGUGGAUCCCUAGAUCCAUCAGCUGAGAACUAAAACCCUCUCUUAGGUGUAUUUAACUGUUACCCUUUAGAAGGCAUUUUCAUCCCCUAAAUCCUGACAAAGGAAGGAGUUUUCAACUGAACUAGGGAGAAGAUGGAGGGGAAUGAAAUGUUUGGCACCUCUUUAUCAGAUAUCAUUAAUUUAUUGCUGAUCUUCGAUUCUAAACUGCAAAGUUUCCAGUCGUCAAGGAGACAUGUAUUUCAAUCCAAGUACCAACAAACCACACGUAUCAGACUCAUAUCUGGUAUGUUCUUCUGGCUUGUUCUAAGAGAGCAGUCUGCUGGGAGGUUCUUCAGGGAAAGGAGUGGAUACUGAGACAAGCCUCAAAUGUUUCCUUCUGCUUCUGCUUC
rnacentral:sRNA from 1 species